rnacentral:rRNA from 1 species
GACGAACGCUGGCGGCGUGCUUAACACAUGCAAGUCGAACGGAAAGGCCCUGCUUUUGUGGGGUGCUCGAGUGGCGAACGGGUGAGUAACACGUGAGUAACCUGCCCUUGACUUUGGGAUAACUUCAGGAAACUGGGGCUAAUACCGGAUAGGAGCUCCUGCUGCAUGGUGGGGGUUGGAAAGUUUCGGCGGUUGGGGAUGGACUCGCGGCUUAUCAGCUUGUUGGUGGGGUAGUGGCUUACCAAGGCUUUGACGGGUAGCCGGCCUGGGAGGGUGACCGGCCACAUUGGGACUGCGAGACGGCCCAGACUCCUACGGGAGGCAGCAGUGGGGAAUAUUGCACAAUGGGCGGAAGCCUGAUGCAGCAACGCCGCGUGCGGGAUGACGGCCUUCGGGUUGUAAACCGCUUUCGCCUGUGACGAAGCGUGAGUGACGGUAAUGGGUAAAGAAGCACCGGCUAACUACGUG